AUUGAACGCUGGCGGCAGGCCUAACACAUGCAAGUCGAACGGUAACAGGAAGCAGCUUGCUGCUUUGCUGACGAGUGGCGGACGGGUGAGUAAUGUCUGGGAAACUGCCUGAUGGAGGGGGAUAACUACUGGAAACGGUAGCUAAUACCGCAUAACGUCGCAAGACCAAAGAGGGGGACCUUCGGGCCUCUUGCCAUCGGAUGUGCCCAGAUGGGAUUAGCUAGUAGGUGGGGUAACGGCUCACCUAGGCGACGAUCCCUAGCUGGUCUGAGAGGAUGACCAGCCACACUGGAACUGAGACACGGUCCAGACUCCUACGAGAGGCAGCAGUGGGCAAUAUGGCACAAUGGGCGCGAGCCUGAUGCAGCCAUGCCGCGUGUAUGAAGAAGGCCUUCGGGUUGUAAAGUACUUUCGGCGGGGAGGAAGGGAGUAAAGUUAAUACCUUUGCUCAUUGACGUUACCCGCAGAAGAAGCACCGGCUAACUCCGUG
rnacentral:rRNA from 1 species